ACAAUUAGCUGUUGGGACACUAGAUGUCUUAGUAGCGAAGCUAACGCGUGAAAUUGUCCGCCUGGGGAGUACGGUCGCAAGAUUAAAACUCAAAGGAAUUGACGGGGACCCGCACAAGCGGUGGAUGAUGUGGAUUAAUUCGAUGCAACGCGAAGAACCUUACCUGGUCUUGACAUGUACGGAAUCUCUUAGAGAUAGGAGAGUGCCUUCGGGAACCGUAACACAGGUGCUGCAUGGCUGUCGUCAGCUCGUGUCGUGAGAUGUUGGGUUAAGUCCCGCAACGAGCGCAACCCUUGUCAUUAGUUGCCAUCAUUAAGUUGGGCACUCUAAUGAGACUGCCGGUGAUAUGCCGGAGGAAGGUGGGGAUGACGUCAAGUCCUCAUGGCCCUUAUGACCAGGGCUUCACACGUCAUACAAUGGUCGGUACAGAGGGUAGCGAAGCCGCGAGGUGAAGCCAAUCUCAGAAAGCCGAUCGUAGUCCGGAUUGCACUCUGCAACUCGAGUGCAUGAAGUCGGAAUCGCUAGUAAUCGCAGGUCAGCAUACUGCGGUGAAUACGUUCCCGGGUCU
rnacentral:rRNA from 1 species